rnacentral:lncRNA from 1 species
GUAAACAGGCAAGCAGAAAUGCAGAAACACACAGGCCACAACAACAAUAUUCAUCAUUCAGGCGAGCCAGACCAUCGGGCACAACUUGGCAAUUCAGAGUACAUCACUUAAACAACUAGCUAAACCGGCAGCUAGACACAAGCUAGUUUCCAAAAGUCAAAGUUCAACCAGCCAGACCUAGAGCUGGCACACAGGUGCACAGCAAGGUUUACAUACACACAACUUGAUUUCGGCCCCCGAAAGAAAGAGCUCGAUUUCAGUGAACAACCAUACACCACAGAGACCCCUGUUACGGAUCCUUCAUUGCCCGAUCAGCUGCAUAUAUGGUUAAGAUUAAGACCCAUUCAGAAAUUUAGAUCAUAAAGAAAGGCGAGCGAUCAGGAAGAGGUGUGGUUCAAAGAUUCGCCCCAGGAUUACCUGUGUAGCUGAGGUUCACUUGGAGGCUUUUAUAUUAGUGAGGGCAGCAAGAGCCUCCACGAUCUUGCCUUCAUUGAUCGACCUAGUAGCCUGUGCAAAGAAAUUUGGAUUUUGCAGGACUGAGUUCCUGGUAAAAUAUGAAAUGGCAUAUAUCCCAAAUGUCAGCAAAAGACACCGACCUUGAGAGACGGUAUCAGUGCAUAAACCUCUUCGAUGGUCUCAGGCCCAAUGUUCGCUAUCAUGCAUAUCUGUUACAGGUACAACAAACCGUUUUAUGUUUGAGAUGAGGGAAAUGAGAUACAAGAAGGUGAGAGGAAAAGAAGGCUUACGAACCUCGCCAUCAUUAACACCAUAGUCUUUAAGAGGUCUGCAGCUACGAGUCAAGGAAAUAAACUACAAAGUGGUUGCUUGGCGAAACAAUUUAACUGCAUGACCACAAUGCGAUCUCUAAUAUUACUAGUUCUUAACCAAAACGAAGGAUACUCCAGGAUUUCUUUCACCAACUUCGCAGAGGUGAAGUGAUUUCCUUCUUUUGCAUACUGAAAGGCCUUGUCAAACGACCUGCCGGUGCAAGAAGAAAAGAUUAAACAUGGAGUCACACAAGCUAACAGACUGGAACGCCACAUAAACAAUUAUUAGCAGAACAUAACAGAAUUAAAACAAGAGAUAUUCCUUACUCGGGAAUUUUUAUAGUCGGAUCCUCUGAUAAGAUAGCCAUAUGUCCUUGAAUUUUCUGCAACAUUUCUGCUGCUUCACAGUUCGAUAACAAUAUAGAAUUUGGAGGCAUAUCUGCAACCAAUUGUUAUGCGGGAAUCAGCUUGCCUAUUUUACGUUUAGACAGAAGGGACAUUUGAAAAUCAUAAUAUAAGAUGUGUGCCCGUUUCAAAUGAUGUAAAACUAACAAUCUCAUUAUACGGAACUUCUCAAGUAAAGAGCCUACUGAAAUUCCAUAAACUACCAAACUUUAACUACUAUUAAGGUUACUAUGAAAUAAACUUCAAGAAAAAUAGAGGAUAUUUCAAUGGAAGGAACUGACCAAGCUGAAGCUUUAGUUCUGCAUCAGACAUUGCAGGCUUUGCAUUUGAUGCGGAGCCCUUCCCGCCUUUCCCAGCACUAAAUGCCUUCCCUCCUUUGCUACCUUCUCCUAUGAGAACAUAAUACAUGAAAGACACAGAAAGACAAUCUAUUGUGUAACUAGAACUUUCAGUUUUAUUGGCAACUCUUGAAUGGAUGAAUGUAUAGCAAAAGUACAAAACGAUGCAUCCAUACCAUUAGAAAAGGAUGAAGCCUUUCCACCAGUUUUUAGGCUAUCAGAUGAAGCUUUCCCAUUUGACUUGGAGUGUGUGGGAGGAGCCUCUUCUUCAAAAAAAUCUAAAUACAGGCAGUGAUAUAUGAGGUUCUUGUAUAUUUUCAACUAUAUAUCAAUACAGUAUUCACAUUGACUUAUUCGGUUUCAUUCAACUAUCCGGUAAAUUUUAGUGCUAAUUUAUGUACUGUGAUCAGAUAUCCUGCCCUAUCAAAUACUGCAAUAGUUACAAUGUAAGCAGCUCAAUGAUUACCAUUUGUUAUGCACAGCCAUAAAUUGGUGAAACAAAACAACAGUGUCUUGCCUUCAACUACAAACGAUAUGAAGUGUCCUUUCACACUCAAUGUGAUGGUAAAUAACAUCAACUAUGAGCAAAUAGUCAACGAAUCAUCUGCAAAUAAAACCAAAGGGGAACCACAAACAUGGUAUAUAAUUCUCUUCCGACAUUUUUUUCUGUAGUAUUUGAUCAAUCCUAUGAAGGCUGCCAAGAUAAGUAUUUGGGGAGCGUAGAAGGUUGUGGGACUUCUAGUUAAAUGAUUCUUUAAUCUAUACUGGAACAAAAAGUAUCAUUUCAAGUUUUCAAACAGAAAAGUUUACUACCUUCUUGCUAAAGAUGCCCUAAGCCCUAGGGUAGCAGGGUACAACCGUACAAAUGGAAUUUUCUUGACAGUCAUAAAUAAAACACAAUGAUCAUAUCAGACAGAUAGCUCGUAACGUGCUAGCAGACACAAGUGAUACUCUUUAAUUCUUAUAACAAAAGCAAAUACCAAAGGAUUUUCUCAUGGAGCAGAGCUGUGAUAAGUGUAGUAAAACUAGAUUUAAGUAGAACAGCAGUGAACACAUGUGACUUGGCAUGCCCAGACCAAGUAGCCAGACAUAAAACAUAUCAUAAGAAGGAUAAUGUGAGUUGAAAAUAAAAAAGGAUUUAGUCCAAUAAAUAAACUGUUGCCUGGAAAAUGUUUAAUGACGAGAUUGGGCAAUAUUAUUACCAUCAGAAUCAGAAUCAGAAUCAGAAUCAGAAAGGUGAAUAACAUCAUUAGAAUUGUUCUGCCUUCCGUUCGGUGCUCCUGCAAGAAUAAAACAGGUAAGGAAUCUGUCAAACUCUAAACUUCCCUUCGAAAGCUCAACUUCUCAAAAAACACAGCAUUCAUUUUGAUGCAGCUGUAAAAUCAUCAAUCAUCACACAACAGAACAACAAAAAAACAUACCAUAAAAGUCUUAGAUUAAAAAACUUCCCUGUCAGACAUAAAUACCUUUAUUCUGUUUAGGUUCGGCACCUGCGACGGUGCGGGGGUUGUCGCUCCGGUUUGGCAUGGCAGAGGAUAUUACUGGGCGGGGCAUGGAAUGUCGAAUAUCCUGCGCGUUCUGAAGGUAGCGGCUGUGCGAGGGGGCGCUGGGGUUGGCCCUCAGGUUCAGGUUUGUGUUUGGGUUCAGUGUGUGGAUGGAGUUGCCUGAGCUGGCCAUGGGAGAUUGGCGAUCCUGCAGGCGGCCCAAGGCGGCUCUGAGGUUAACACUCAGGUUCCGGUCUCGCCUGUAGGAGUUGACUGAGCAGGGUAUGAAGUAUCGGGGAUCCUGCGGGUAGUGAAGGUAGCUGCCAGGCAAGGCGGCGCUAGGGUUUGCAUUUAGAUCUGGAAUGGGGAAGGAGAUGGCUGGCCAGUGCAUGGGGAAGGAGAUGGCUGGGUGGGGCAUAGGGGGAUGAAAAUCCUGCGUGUAGUGGAGGUAGGGGCCGCCGUGAAAGGGAGAGAUGACCGAGGGGUGGUGGAGGUAGGGGCCGCCGUGAAAGGGAGAGAUGACCGAGGGGUGGGAGUAAGGGCUGAACGGAGGCGGCGGGCCGGCGGCGGCAGGGAACAUGGGCGCAGCGGUAGGCGCAGCGGUAGGAGGCGAACCGAAGAGAAUACCCAGGUCGAAGGGAGGAUCGGGGUUGUUAGUGUUCGGAUUAGGGUUAAGGUUUCUGGCUGGAGGCGCCAUGGGAAGCGGCGGCGGAGUAGAUCUGGAGAAGAGGGGAAGAGGAGGAAAGUUGGAGGUGGGAUGAACCGGAAAUGGAGGUCAAUAACUCAAUAUAUAGGCGGUGGUUGUCUUGUUGCUGUUGUGCCCCGCAAUUUUACUUUAUUUGCGCCGCGCAAUUUCACUUCAAUUGUGCCCCGCAAUUUCACUUUAUUUUGACUUAAGCCUCUCAGUUCCAAACAAGUCGCGGUAGGCUAGAGUUGAAACCCAUAAGAUCUCGAAACCAAGUCAUGGUUCUGCCACGUGGAUAGCAAACUUCCACGCACCCAUGCCCAUGGCUAGUUCUUUGGUGAUAAUGCUGCUAAAUAUUGCUAUUUUAAAUUAAUUCCAAAAACACCCAGUACAAUAUGCAGACUUGAUAGAUGUACAUCACUCCAUUCCACGCAUUUCAACAAGAGAACAAGGUUGUAGUGUGUGUUACUAAGAUGCUGCGAAAUAGAUAACCUAUUACUUCAAAUAAGCAAGGGAUAAAUCAUCAUGUUCUCCAAAGUAGUAUAUUCUUGAGAGAGAAUUUACGGCAUGUCGUAAGCCGUUCUAACACAGGUACGAAAAAACGCUAACUAUCACAGAACCACGAGCAUACCACACACGUGAUAUUUCAGAAUAGGCAUAUACCUCAGUUUCUAGUUUAGUUCUACAUUUGAUCCAAGGAUUUUCCUUCACCAAAAUAGUGAAGGUUGGAUUAACUAAGGGGCUGCUUGGUUCCCAGCCACACUUUGCCACAUAUCAAGUUAGGCGAGUUUGACCAAGUUAGGUGGGUGUUUGGUUCUAGCCACACCUAAGGCAAGAUUCUUUUUGUUCAAAAUAAGUCCACAUGUCAUACACACAAAAAGUGUGGCAAUCCAAAGUGAGGCUAAGAAUUUGAGCACCUAGGCUAAGAAUUUGAGCACCUAAGCUAAGGCAAUUAGUUACCAACCAAACAUGCCCUACAUUAACAGCAGACCUUCCUCUGCAGAGCAGGAAAAAAAAAGAGAACGCAUCAAGAUGCUCAAGCAUGGAAUUUAAAUAUACAGACCAAGCUUAUGUGCUUAACUGCACCAAAAUCAACAAAAAAUCUUCCAAGGAACGCAUGCAAGACAUAUCCACGGAUAUUCGCUCUCUUGUUGAAGGGAAGGACCAUUCGUUAGACUAAAACCCUUAGGAAUCGCUAAAUUUAGCCAUGCACUUGUGCAUAAACACAAAUGAUCCAUUUAGUGUUACCUUAUUCACAGGCAAACAGACCCAAAACCUAUUAGGCUGCUAGUGAUUCCACAAUGCCCAGCAACGUUUAAUGCAUCACCAUUUUGAGCAAGCUGUGUCACAAUCAACUCAAUUAUCUACUUUUCCAGCUUUCCUUGAGACACCAAAUUAUAAUAACCCACCCACACCACAUAUGAGUGUGACACAACCAGUAGGAAAGUUGUUAAGAUUAAUUUGGUAACAAAUAUUAGCCAGAUGUAUUUCUACAAGCGCACAUAAACAGAUAAUCCAAUCCAAUUCUAGGAUCCAAAGGGCAUUGUCAGGAAAAAGUUUCUUAAGGACUGGAACCCUUCUCAAAAGUCCUACAGUCGAAAGAGGCCCUGAACAAACAGCUCUGUUUUGUCGUGGAUAUAUCACACCCAUAACAAAAUCCGACCAAAACCACCUAAUAAACAACCAAAUCAUAAGCCCUCGCACCCAUCAAAUUGGAUCUAAACCAUCUCCAAUAGCCAAAAUUCAUGUCCUUUCGAUGCCCACCCGCCAGGGCACCAGUACCGUGACAACAAAACCCUCGGCGCUCUGUAAACCCUAAUCCCUGGCCAUUCGCAUCGUUUCCUACUCGAUAGACGCGAAGAUCCCGACACCCACCGGGUUUUAUCCGGUGAAUGUCGCGUUCGUCAAGGGUUGAGACGACGUCGACGCAAAAAAAAAUACGGGGAAAGGGGGGGAUAAAACGGAAGGGGGCUGAACGGGGAUCACCUGACUUGGACGGAGGGUAGGACCCUUUCCCUCCCCUGUUCGCCAUUGCGGAGGAGAAGGCGGUGGUGAUCAGGAGGCGCCUGCCGGAGUCGGCCGCGUCGCUCUCCGCACCGACGCCGCACGCGCCCCGCUGCUCACUGCUCGCUGUCGCUGGUGAGGAGACGGAGAGUGAGAGUGCGGCCUGCCUCUGCCCGGAUGUAUUGACGGAUUUAUAAAGUUGGGCUGGGGAGUUUUUCUUUUUUUUUAGGCAAAGUUGGGCUGGGGAGUGAGAGAGAGAGGCUCCGCAGUCGGGCUCUGGGCUCGGGUGGACUAUGGGCCCAUGAGUCAAUGUUCUGCAGUCGACGAGGGCCAAUUUCAACAAAAUACAAUUGUCUGCCCUAAAAAAAAUACAAUUGUCUAAGAAAAAAAUGCAACCAUGCUCGGAUACAUGAUGAUGCAAGCGCCACCGACUGGUGCCCAACCGGAGGAUCCGCAGUGCCUCGUUGAAGACCCAUUCCCUCCUCCACUCCCUCUUAUAAGCUCACAGGUGCGGUAAUUUUCAACAAAUUGCUCCGUCAAAACCACACAAAAAAACACCACGACAAGAAGGAAAAAAAGAUGUGUGCAUACGGGCCAUGGACUUGCCGGAAGCUGGGGGCGCGCCGAAGUCAGAGCAGGAGUGCGACUUGGGGAUGCGUGAUCGGUCGCCGGCUUAGGGGAUCUCUCUUAUUGAAGCAAUCUAGGGAGAAGAAGAGAGAGCAUGAGAGUAUCUACAAUCACAGGUAUCAAAAAUAUAUAUGCGGCUAUGCGUGUCCGCGGACAGUGACUGAUCAGCAUGCAAAAAUUCGAUUUCACAACUUGAUACCUUAUUUUUAAAUUAUCAAAUCCAUACAAUUAUAUGCCACGUAAAAUUAAUCUACAUUUUCACCGGUAACCAUCAUUGUUGUUCCGACCGUGUCCAUGUACAGCGGCCGACUUAACCCCUCGAAGUGAAGGCAUAGUUGCCGGCGAGGUAAUGUAGGACAUGUGACACGGACCGGCUCACGGGACUCGAGGCGCCUUCAUCUCCCAUGCCCUACUCUUCCUCGUCGGAGUCCACAACCUGUUCGUUGCAACUGGGCAUGAGGUCGAUGAUGGAUGUGGCGAGUGGUCGGGCCGGACGGCAUGCGGCUCCGCCUUCGUUGCCUGGGCAGCGAGAGCUUCCGUGGCCAUCCGCUCUUGGUGCCUUGCACCUCGCGUCUGCAGCGUGCUUGCCAUACACCAUGUCGACGUUGACCUCCGGCUCGGAGCCCACCCCCGCGGGGACGACGCGCCACCGAAUGGGUUGCGCUGCCAUCCCGGGGUUCAGCUGCCAGACGGCCUGCACUGCAUUCGGCAAGGCAGGGGUACAACGCCUCCCACCACGAGCGUCGGGCAGAUCCAGUCGCAUUCACGCGGAAACAAUGGGUUCCUAGCGAUACGAGUCCGUCCGCGAUCGGGCGCACUCCUCCCGGGAGCGAUGGAGAGCCACACGGACCGCCAUCUCCUUCUCGGGACUGUAAGGGACAAGGUCCCAGUCGACCAUCCAGACAUCCCAGAGUUAGAUUCGCUGCAUGCCACGCUAGAAACGAAUGGAUUUCGACGAAGGAGAGCUUGGGGGAGAGGGGAGUGAAGUGGAGUAUGGCUAGGGUUUCUUCCAGACUGCGGAUAUGGUUGAAUAUAUGUGGGUCGGGUGGGCCAUUGUAGGCCGGAUCCAACGUGGCAGGCACGUCCUAGCACAUCCGGGCGUCCCUAUCUCCGCCCCACAUAUGAAUAUGGCGGCUGUCGGUCAGCUCGGACGUUUUGAUUGCGCUUUAAGGCGUCAGGUUGGGUAGCAAUUCUAUGCCCAAACAGUGACCGAGCAGGCCAUCUCAGCGUCUAAGAGCAUCUCCAGCCGCGCCCCCAACAGGCCCUCCCCAGGCAAUUUUUUAGCGCCGGCGGGCGAAAAUCGGUCCAGUCGCGCCCCAGGAGUCCGUUUUUCGCCGGGUUGGACCGAAAUAACAGCAGGCGCACCCGAGCCGAACCCGACGCGCUGGGGGCACCGGCACAAGCAAAAAGGGGCGUGGGGCCGCUCAGUCGGCGAUAGGAGGGCCUUUUCCCGCCGUUUCUUUCCGCUCCCCCCGACUUCCCUCUCAUUCUCUCCAUUCCUCCCGCCAAUCUCCUCCUCCUCCCCUCCCAGCCGGCCGCCAUGCGCCGAAGAAGUACGUGGUCCCCCCGCGCCGCGACGGGUGCGACCGCCGCCGUCGCCCAGCCGAAGCAGAGGAAGCCGAGGGCACCGUCGUCCAAGCCCCCGGGCAUGUCCAACGCCGACUGGAGGGCGGAAGUUCAGCGUCGGGAGGCUGUCACCACCGACCGGUGGACCAGGGCCAACGCCAAGAAGGCGCAGGACAGCAUGGCGCGGCUCGCGGCUGCGACGGCGGCGGUGGAGCAGGCGGAGCGCUCGGCCGAACAAGCCGAGGCGGCCCGCGUGGGGAUGAUGAAUCCACCCGGCGGCCACACCCCAUACGCGCCCUGGAGCCAGCCAAGCGUCGGUUCUCCGACCGGCUUCUCGUCAUCGCCGCAACCCUGGGGUUGCACGCCGUCGCUGGGCUACGCCGACGGUGACGCGCACGGCGGGUUCAACCCCAACAUCACCUUCCCCCAUGGUCACCCGGCCCAGCGGACGCCCUCGCCCGCCUUCGCCGACGUGCAGUACCCUCCUACACCUACUCCCCGCCGGCCUACGCAUCCUCCCCGAUGCCCCCUCUCCGUCGUGGCGCGCUGCCCUUCUCCCAAGCCUCCACGUCGCAUCUCGGCGACCGAAGCCGACAUGGACGACAUCAUCACGGCCAGCUCGGCCGCCGCCGCCUCGUCCCCCGGGUUUACCCAGGACGACACAAUGGACCUCAACGGCGACAUGGACGGCGAGCUCGACUACGACGAGGAGGAGCCGGAGCCGGAGGAGGAGGAGGAGUCGGCGCCUGCCUCGGCAAGGAAACGAAAGAAGAAGAAGGGGGCGGCCAGGACCGGCAAGCCGCGCAUCAAGUGGGCGUCCAAGGAGGAUGAGUGCCUCGCCGAAGCGUGGAAAGUCGUCUGCCUCGCCCGAUCACCGGCACGAACCAGAGCAUCGACACGUAUUAUGACCGCAUCAAGACCGAGUUCGACGAGCGCAAGCUCGUUGACCCCUACUUCAAAGGCGUGUACAUGCGGCGCGGGGCGAAGGCAAUGGCGAACCAUUGGGGGCUCAUCCAAUCGGUGUGCAACAAAUGGCAUGGUAUCGUCGAGGAGAUCGCGGCUCGCCCGAAGAGGGACACCAGCAUCGAGGAUCAGGUAUGGCACGCCGGCCCCUCCCUUCUCUUUUCACCGGGUGCGCGCCACUCACUGAUUGUUCCUCGGCGCAGCUGGUGCGGAUGUUCGCCAUGUUUUGGCAGGACAGCAGCGACCAAGAUUUCAAGUACGUCCACGUCUUCAAGCGGAUCGAGAAGUGCGAGAAGUGGGUGGAUGUCCGGCGCACCCUCGCCAAGGCCAAGGAGACCUACAAGCUGGAUGCGCCGACGCCGGGCGCGGGCAACGGACGCCCCGAAGGCAACAAAGGGGCCAAAAAGGGGAAACACGCUGACUCGACAACCGCGCGAGUGCAGGAAUCCAUUGAGCAUUGCCUCGCCGACGCACAGGCCCGGGCCGCCCUGCGUGAAGAGAAGACCGAGGCGCGAUGGUCGGCGUUGAUGACGAACAACGCCGUCAAGCUCGACCUACUCUGGACCAACGUUGCCGCGAAGAAGAGGAACACCGACCUGGCUUUCUAGACAUCAGGGUAUCUUCAACGGCAACCCGCAAAAAUCAUUUCACAUCCGUCCGCGAACACGGAUGCGGGAGGACGCCAUCCAACGCUAGCCGGAUACGUUUUCACAAUAACUCAAACUAACCGGAUGAAAUUCGAUCAAACACGGCCAAACUUCAUAUAAAUGACGGAUUUCAUUACAUUUUACUAUAAAUUCGAUCAAACACGGCUCACGGGACUCGAGGCAUCGCCAUCUUUCAUGCCCUACUCUUCCUCGUUGAAGUGUGCGGCCUGUCCGUUGCCAGUGGACGAGAGGUCUAUAAUGGACGUGACAGGUGGGCGGGCCCUGCAGCGUGCGCGCGCCCAUCCACGCUUGGUGCCUUGCACAGUGCGCACCAUUUAAUUAGCCUAGGACAUCAUAUUCCUACGUUAUUUUAGCGGGACUCACUCUCUUUUUCUCACGCCAUCAUCCUCAUCCUCUGCUUAUUGAUUCCAAACUGACUUAUUGGGUUGGUCGAUGACAGGUAACUCCAAGACGUAUAUAAAUUGGUGUUUUUGGUUCUAAGCCGGCGAGAUAGUACUAUUUAGUGAUAAUAGAAAGAACCAACUUAUUGAGUUGGUGAUUUUUCAGGCCCGGCAGAGGCCCAACGAAGCAUGUGUUACGUAAUUGCAAUCGGCUUACUCACAUAGGUUACAAAGAAACACUCAUUUAUUUUUCCUUGCAGCCCAAUCAAGAGAAGAAAAAAAGAUGCAGAGUAGGCCCCUUUGGCCGACGUAGGGGACUGACUCCCUACGGCCCAAUCGAGGGGGGAAAAUGCGGAGCAGGCCCUUAACUGGACAGUUUGGAGGCCCAACCUACAAAUUUAUUUAUGCAUGGAUGGACAAAAAUUUUAGUACCACGUCAGAUAGGUAUAAAAGAAAAUAAUUCCAUAUGAUGAACGGACCAAAAAUUUAGAAAAACGCACCUACCUUUUAUUAUUACUAGCAAAAAGGCCCAUGCAUUGCAACGGGAGAAAAAAAAAACCUUCCAAAUCUCUAGCUGAGCCAGUUGGACAAAUUGUGUGUGACCGGUUGGCAGUUAUGAGAUCGAACCCUCCCAUCGGCAAUUUUAUUUUUUUGCCAGCUCUCCAAAGUUGGGCCACAGUGCGUCGCCAGAUGGGCUUCCUUCGUUGGGCCAAAACGGUGCAAUUAAUUGAAACGGGACCAAACGAAGCGAGACGAAACCUAGAUAUAGAUUAUUAUUAUUAUUAUUAUUAUUACUACUACUACUACUACUAUUAUUAUUAUUAUUAUUAUAUAGGGAAAAGCCCGUGAGUUGCAACGGGUAUAAAAUAAAUCUGAGUUUGUGUGGUAUUUGAGAGUUACAUGUCAUGGUAAAAUACUAAGUUUUUUCAAUCAAAUUGGUUGUAAAACCCAUAAGGAUCCACUUUAUGAAGAUCCCAUUGUGUUCUAAAAGCUCGUAAUCUUUUUCUCUGCUAAUAAAACCUACUCCUUCAACUCGCUCUAAAAAAAUUGGAUUAUGUGUAAUAAGUUGUUGAUUUUCAACAACCCUGUGUAAAAAAUAAAAAGUUGCACAGUAACUGUCAAAAAAAAGUUGCACAGUAUACACCACACCGUUUUUGUAGUCUUCGAGGGUUUAUGCAGUGCUAGUACUAGCAAAGCAGUUUCCUUCCAGAUGAAAGAAAAAAACUAAAAAUUAGAACCAAGGAUAUUCAAUAGUUUUAGACAGCAGAUUCUCAUAGAAAAAAUAUCAAAAACUGAAACAAACAACUAUUUGAAAUCAGCUUUGCUAGUGAAGCAAAAUCUAGAUCCGAGCCAUUUUCAAUGCAAUUGGCUGAAGCAUGUCUAGACAUACUUCAGUGGCAAUCGACGGGCUAUUCAAAGCCAGUUGAAACUGAAAACAAACAGGUUAGAGAAAGGAAUCAAACUCAAUGCAAAACUAGGAAAACAGGGAUGUCUUCAAAGGGGAAUUUGCUUAGCGGUUCAAAUGGCCCUGUGCACGCCCAAGCAAACUUUGAUCACCUAUCAGUCUCUGCAAGCAGCAGAUAUAUCUAAAGGCACCGGAAAAAAGAAGCAAGUGAAGGGUAAAAAAUAAAACAAAUGUAGUAAACAAAAUAGGUUUUAUGUUGGAUUCCUAAGAACAAACUGCUUAGCUAAGGGUUGCUUUGAUGUAUAGGAUUCUCAAAACACAGGAAUAGAAUAAACAAAUGAUUUACAAAGCUACAGGAAUAACAAUGUAUGGAACAUUCCUAAGGAUCUAAAUCCUCAGUCCUAGAAGAUUCCUUUGAAUCAAAGGAGCCCUAAAACUGCUGAAACUACAAAUUCAAAUUAAAUAGGUUUUAUGUAGGAUUGCUAAUCGUUCUAGCUAAAAACGAUGAACCUACAGAUUCAUUCUGCCCUCCAGAGCUGCCGUCUACAGAAAACCAAACUAGAAGUAAAAAAGCUGCACCCAGAAGAGACACGAUUCACAGAGAAGUAAACAGCAAGCAGAAAUGCAGAAACACACAGGCCGCAACAACAAUAUUCAUCAUUCAGGCGAGCCAGACCAUCGGGCACAACUUGGCAAUUCAGAGUACAUCACCUCAACAACUAGCUAAACCGGCAGCUAGACACAAGCUAGUUUCCAAAAGUC